GUAUGCAGCCCGGCCAAGCCCCAGAGACUGCAGCUCAGGAUCACACCACCAUCUGCAAAGCCAGGCCACAGCUGCCAAAGAGAUCUCUUUCCUCCCCGUCAUUCUGCUGAUGGUCAUUUUGUCCUUGGCUACAACGUCCCACUGGGCCCGAGACACUGCAAGGAUUUUAUGAGAUUUCUUUGCUUCAAGCUAGGGGAAGGCAAACAGAAGAGAAUUCAGCAACUGCCACUUUGAAACAAUUUUGGGGCAAGACAUGAAGAUUCACAAAAUGCAGUUUCUAGAAGCGGCUGGAAUGUAAGCUGCAAGGAAGGGAGCAGAAACGUCAUCUGUCUCACCAUGGCUGUCUCCCUACCAUCCAGAGUGGUAUCUCACACAGAAAAUGCAAUCAAUAAAUAUCUGUUAAAUGGC